ACUUUAAAUCAAAAAAUAAAAAUACACAUCGAUCUCAUCGAUGCUGAAAUCUUAGAUCUAACUAUUAGAUCUAACAUUGCGAUCAAGAUAAGAUAGACAUCAUUACCAAACCAAUUUGAUAUUGAUCUCCUCUGAUCUAAUAAUUGGAGAAGGUGUUCCUCAGAUCACUCACAGCCACACAAAGUUGUCUGAUCUCUACAAAAAAUUCACAUGAAGAUUGGC
rnacentral:lncRNA from 1 species